rnacentral:snoRNA from 1 species
GAGGUUUGAUGGAGACAACCCAUUUAGGGUAUCCCAAAUUGACCUAAAGUAAAUUANGAGGGGAAAAUAUUGCCUGGGUUCAGAAUUUACAGUAAUAAAUGUGAACAUCAUAACAACUAUUUGAUGAUCAUGUAUGAUGCUGAAAACAGGA